rnacentral:tRNA from 1 species
UGGAGAGAUGGCUGAGCGGUCGAAAGCGGCGGUCUUGAAAACCGUUGUGUCCUCUGGGCACCGGGGGUUCGAAUCCCUCUCUCUCCGAC